rnacentral:misc_RNA from 2 species
AACGCACAUUGCGCCCAUUAGUAUUCUAGUGGGCAUGCCUGUUCGAGCGUCAUUUCAACCUCUAAGCACAGCUUACUGUUGGGAAUCUACGUCUGUAGUUCCUCAAAGACAUUGGCGGAGCGGCAGUAGUCCUCUGAGCGUAGUAAUUUUUUAUCUCGCUUCUGUUAGGCGCUGUCGUCCCGGCCGUUAAACCCCCAAUUUUUUCUGGUUGACCUCGGAUCAGGUAGGAAUACCCGCUGAACUUAA